UUCAGUACUUAUUGUUCGUUUUUACACAAAAAUAGCUUCUUCCAUGUCUUCCGAACACUAAUGUACAGGUAGAGUAGUACAAGUGGAAAAAACAAGCUAUGCAACAUAUCCAAAAUAAAGUACUCGUAUUUUGACACGAUAUUAGCCCAGUUGCCAUAAAAUGUUUCCACACCAGCCUGCUUUAAAAUAUAACCCGUGAAAGUGGUGAAAAAGAAGCUUAGUAUGCUAUUGCACACUAGAAGAACUGCCAUCAGCACAGGUAAUAACAUCAUUCGUCGAUUCAGUGAUGUUUCAAUUCUAUUUUCAGAUCGAACUAUGAAGCUCCUCUUGAAUAUUCGAAAAGCCUCUAUCGAAGUUAGUAUUGUAAUGACAAAAGCAGGUGUCAUUGUAAACACUACGAAACAAAUGACUACAAUAAAAAAUGCUGUAACAAUAUUUCGUCCUUCUGGAGAUUCGUUUUCAUAGCAGAAUAUAUGACAAUGUACUGGAUACCUUGCCAAGCCAUUUGUGAUAACAAAGACAACUGUCCAGAAAAAAGCUACAAGAGCUGCUAUUGCUGUGAAGAAGUAACUAUGUUUGUAACCAAUUCGCUUCCCUUUCAUUGUGAGAAGCUGCACGACACUCAGGCAGGUCACAGCUACAAUUGAGUACACUGUGAAGAAUACUCUUGGUGCUUGCAAUGGAACUAUCGUCCAUCUUGUACAAUGACAGUAACGAAUGGACGCAGAUAUUUGAUGACUAUAAAAGGCAGGCCCGGACUUUCUGCUGUUUUCGACAACAACCAAAUCCUUAUACUGUACAGUAGAUGCAACUAUGAUACAAGUAACCCUAUCUGACUCCAUGGAAAUCAGUUCAUGGGAGUCCAUGCAGAAAUCUCAUGAAUCAGUCGCCCUCCGUGGGUGGGGAGCUCACGAGACUAAGCGCGCUUGUAGUUCCCAUGCUGAUUUUUCUCUAAAAAAGGUUGAUGGAGAAAAUAUCAUUACGUUCUUUUAGAAAACAUCGGCCUAGAAACGAGAGGAGAAAUGAGUGUUAGUGUUGUGCACCAACUCUACUCCCUCCAGAGAGAGACCAGCUGUGAGAAGGCCCUCAGAACCAGCUGUUCAAUAGCAAGAACCAUUGUAUUACAACCAUCAAUGGAGUUUCAGCCUGUUUGGAAAAGACUAUCAAACAAACAUGUAUGUAUUGGACUGGACAGGAGGAUGUAUUUUGACAACCACCAAGUUGCGUACUACAAUGAUGGUAUUGGUGGCCAGCCUCGAAUGCUGUACGAUUUUGGAGCAAUAAGAAAAGACAUGAAAAUAUUGGCAGUGAUACUUCAUCAUUCGCACAUUCAAAGAGCCUCCCCUUCAAGUGAGGAGAGAGAGGUGUGUCUACUGGUGCUCUCAGCCGACGGCUACCUGAGGGUGUUCAAUGCCAACAAUGGCUCCCUACUCAGAUCCGUCUUCCUGUCAACUGCUGUUAGCUAUCGGUACCUACAAUGGGCUGACUACCUCCAUACGGUACAAGUUAAGUCAAUACAGUUCAGUAGACAGCUGGCACGACAAAGGGGUGUGGCUAACGAGUACACCUCCUCACGUCUCCUGGUCGUUGCUGUGUUCAAAGUCCACCCACUCGAGCUGGUGGCUUGUCUCUCAGUGGACAGAAAGAUAUUUGGUGGUGACAUUCAGGAUGCCUCACUCAACCAGGAUGUGCUGGUGGUGGCCCACAGCACGGGGUACUACCGGAUGUACAGUCUGCCAUGGAUCAUUAAGCAUUACAGUGUGGUCAAGGCCACCCUCGGAGAGUGGGUGGAGCUAGGAGGCACAAGGGCCGGGGUGAUGGGAGAGACUGGCUUUGGGGUGCCACUCACCUUGAAUAUUACUGAGCGCCCCCCGCUGCUGUUUGAGGUCAGGAGUGGCUCUGAGCUGGGAGUGAGCUUCGGAGGAUCCCCAACAGUCUACUUACACAAUCCCUCCCCCAAAGACAACAGCGUCUUCUUCCUACGCUCACUGCAAAGUGGAAAACUGGUUGCUAAGUUUAGUACAGACACUGUAGCAUUCCAUCAAGAUGUGGUAGACUUUCACCAUGACGAUUAUCUGAGGAUCAUGCACAUCAGUGGCAGCACAGUGAGCUGCUAUCAACUGGUAGAAGAGGGAGUUGUGAAACUUUACACUACUGACUUCAGGUCACUGUCAAAGAGGAAGGAAAUUCCCCUUAGGACGUCUUCUGGUCGCACUAUUCGGAGGAGGGUGUGUGCUCAGGAUAUAGACGACCUCUUUGUGUCAGCAGUCCAAGAUGUGGAUUAUGAGAAUGAGCUGGACCUACUCCAUGCUGUGGUCACACUGCCGAGCAGGGAUGGGGAUGGAACAGAGGCGUGGUUCUGUUUCCUUGACGACAGAACUGGAGAAAUAAUAAAAAAAGUAUCUUUACCAACCUGGAAAACUGUAAGUGGUAGUUAUACAUCAUGUAGUACGAAAUUCGACAUGACAUUUUUGUGUCAGAGGUAUUGACAUAUCUUGUUUCGUAUUCGGGUAAACAAACUUGGAACUAGAUGACUAAUACGCUCAUUCUGCUGUAAAACAUCUUUACACUGUAGACAUAUUGGCGGUUUCCUGUAGUGGCUCAAAAGGCCUAUUUCAGAUGGUACUACGAUUUGAAGUGUUUUGUUCAAUCGAAGAAUUGAUGUGUGUAUUCCCAUUGUCUGAACGUAAAUUGGUUUCACUAUUGUUUUCCGUCUCAACGUUUUUUGUUCUUUGAAGUAAGGAAAGGGUGGGGUUCUAUAGUUGUGAUUUAUGUAGAAGGGUAAUGGAUAUUUGGAUAUUUCGGUUUUUCCGUCGCAUGUCCAGUUCUUUAAAUAUGACUGCUGUAGUGUUGUUUUACUUCCUUUCAAUUCCAUACUUGAAGAAUGGCUGAAUAGAAAUGCCGAGGUGUUUGACUGAUCAAUUGCCGUCAUCAUUUCACUCCAGUUCCUGCGUGUUUGUGGCACUAUGAUUUCAUCCAAAUCUGUAAAUAUCAAGUACCUAGCCCUGUACAUGUUUCUAUAGAGACAGUCGUUGAUGCAUACGGACUCAGCGUAAUAGUGCGAAUUAGAGGCAUCAUUUUGAGAUAAAUUCCACUCCACAAUCUCCAGAAUACCUUGUUUCUCAUAGUCUCUCAGUACUUUCAUUGUAGCUGGGUUUUUGUCCUGUACGUACACAGUUAUCCAUCCUGCUCCAAACGCUAGGUUGCGUUCAAUUCCUUCAAUCACCAUAUUCAAAGAAAUACGUUUGCCAAACAUUGGAGUUUCAAUGCAUAUUCCAAAGUUGACAGAUUUGUUAGAUUCAAUUCUCGAAAUGUGAAUCCAAUUAGACACAUUAGGAGGUUUGCAUUGUUUGUUUUGAGACACUGCUACGUUGAUCGGGAGUGGAUAAGGUACAACACAUCUAAGACCAAAGGCCCAGCUGUCCUUGCCAACUUUCUCAUCAGCUAUAUUCAGAUUUUCUUGUGUAGCCAAACUUUUUAAGCAUACACUGGUUCUAUUUGGAUACUGAAAUGCACAAUAGAAAUUUUCCUUGGGUACUGUAUGUUUGUGUAGACCAAGUAGAAAUACUGUCGGAUGUCCCGAACUUCUCUCAUCUAAGUAGGCUGACACAAGUCUGGUGUUUCCUUUACUACUGACAUUGGUCCACUUGUAUGCUUUAGUUAUCGCCGAGGUUGGUGAGAUGUCUUUGUUAGGAGGAGGUUCCUUUGCUUUUACUGCAAGCUGCUUAGUGGGUUUUGCAUGAGUCCAACUCUGCACCGGGUUGACUGUAGUGCUAGUGCUGUACUUCAUAGGCAUUUGGGGGAUAGUCAAAGCCAGCUGCUGCAGUAGAAGACCAUUCCUUCUUGAAGGCACUUCAAUUGGGAUCUGUCUUUUAGCCAGCACAUCAGGAUAGUAGAAAAAAAUAGUUACUGUCACUGCACUUAAUGCUAGCAGACAAAUAAGAGCAAAUAAAUUUCUCAUGGCUAGAUCUACUGAAUGAAUGUUAAUUACAGUAGGUCGCCAAAUUCCAAAGUUUGUGUGAUAGACUACACGAACUAAUUGCACACUCUAUCAACACUUUAUAGGCUAGGUUGCUUCCUGCCAGGACAGUGAUCACUGAAAAAAACAGCCAAAUAAUUAGAUUUUUGCCAGAACGUAUCGAUCCCCGUUUUCUCCAAGCUACACUGCUAGAGCUAGAGCUAACUGACAUGACAUAGCUGAGUGCAAUCUAGAUAGAGUGCAGUACAGGUAAACUUAGCACUAAUAACAGGACGUAAACUAAACCACAACAUUCCUCCUUUCUUAAGUGAGGGCUCACAACACUCAUUAAUUAGCAUCGUAAGUGCUGAUGUCUCGGUGGAUGUGUCAAAGCUACAUAACAUAAAGCUAUUAGCUAUUGCUAUAAAGUAUAGUAGCAUCUAUGGACAAGUUUUGCUAUGUACAGUAAGUAGACUCUUGUAAAUCCGGCUACCCUUGGGACAGUGCAGGCGACGGCAUUUCAAAAAAUAACCGCGGAUGCAAGCAACAGCAUUUACUAUGAAUUGGACUGCAUACUCCAUUUGGUUAAAGAUGGCGGUGUCUCUACUUGCCAUUACUACAGACUAACCAGAACACAUUCCACAUUAACUGCUAUGCCCUUGAAAAACACGAAAUUUUGCAUCUCAUGAAAAUUUAACACUACGUUACAUUUUUUUAAAAUAUACUUGUGCACCAUAAUAAUAUACACUGUAUAACUGUA